rnacentral:rRNA from 1 species
AUUGAACGCUGGCGGCAGGCCUAACACAUGCAAGUCGAACGAGUGGCGGACGGGUGAGUAAUGUCUGGGAAACUGCCUGAUGGAGGGGGAUAACUACUGGAAACGGUAGCUAAUACCGCAUACCAUCGGAUUUGCCCAGAUGGGAUUGGCUAGUGGGUGGGGUAAAGGCUCACCUAGGCGACGAUCCCUAGCUGGUCUGAGAGGAUGACCAGCAACACUGGGACUGAGCCACGGCCCAGACUCCUACGGGAGGCAGCAGUGGGGAAUAUUGCACAAUGGGCGAAAGCCUAAUGCAGCCAUGCCGCGUGGAUGAAGAAGGCCCUAGGGUUGUAAAGUACUUUCAGUCGGGAGGCGUUACCGACAGAAGAAGCACCGGCUAACUCCGUGCCAGCAGCCGCGGUAAUUC